GGAGGGUUCGCCUAAUGGUAUGGCACUGGUUUCGAAAACCAGCAGGAGAAAUCCUUUACAGGUUCGAGUCCUGUACCCUCCGCCA
rnacentral:tRNA from 2 species